CCGCCGCCAGCCGCCAUGGGCAGCCUCCGCCUCUCCACCUGGUCCUCCUCCGCCGCCGCGCGAGGCCUCCCGCCGGGCCGCCGCGGGCGACCCAGCCGCUGCGCCCCGUCGUCCCCGGCGUCGGCGGCGCUAGGCCGGCUCCAGAUGGGCACGGACCACGCGUGGCAGUGGGACUGCCGCGGCGGCGGAGCGGGCCGGAGGGACUACGCCAAGGAGAUGGAGGCGGCGGUGCGCGUCGUGCAGGUGGCCUGCACGCUCUGCCAGCGCGUGCAGGACUCCCUCCUCCUCGCCGACGCCGGCUCCGGCAGCGUCCACUCCAAGCUCGACCGCUCCCCGGUCACCGUCGCAGAUUGGGGCGUGCAAGCAACAGUAAGCUGGUUACUCUCUGACUGCUUUCGUGAUGAAAAUGUGUCGAUCGUGGCAGAGGAAGAUGAUAAGACACUAUCUAGUAGCGACGGCACGGCUUUACUUGAGUCUGUUGUCGCUGCUGUCAAUGGUUGUCUGGUUGAAGCUCCAAAGUACGGGCUGAGAUCCCCGGAGAAAGACCUCAGGGCUCAUGAUGUUCUCCAAGCUAUACGGAAGUGCAGCUCCACCGGCGGUCCAAAAGGAAGAUUCUGGGUGCUUGAUCCUGUGGAUGGCACGCUUGGUUUCGUGCGUGGGGACCAGUACGCUAUUGCUCUUGCCUUAAUUGAAGAUGGUGAAGUUGUACUAGGUGUUCUUGGGUGCCCAAACUAUCCAAUGAAGAAGGAAUGGCUCAACUAUCACCAGCGGUACUACAGGUUGAUGUCUAAGGUUGCUCCCCCUACAUCUGGAUCCUGGAACAAGGGUUGUGUGAUGUAUGCUCACAAAGGGUGUGGCCAAGCUUGGAUGCAGCCACUGGUUCAUGACUUUGGCAUGCUUAAUUGGCAUAACUCAAGGGAGAUUCAGGUUUCAUCUGUCAGUGAUCCAGUUUCAGCAACAUUCUGUGAACCUGUUGAGAAAGCCAACUCAAGCCAUUCCUUCACUGCAGGACUUGCUCAUAGUGUAGGCUUAAGAAACCGGCCUCUGCGUGUGUAUAGCAUGGUAAAGUAUGCUGCAAUAGCACGAGGUGAUGCAGAAAUCUUCAUGAAAUUCGCUAGAUCUGGAUACAAGGAGAAGAUAUGGGAUCAUGCCGCAGGGGUUGUCAUCAUUCAAGAGGCUGGUGGAGUGGUCACAGAUGCUGGAGGUCGCCCAUUGGACUUCUCCAGGGGUGUUUACUUGGAGGGUUUGGAUAGAGGCAUAGUAGCUUGUUCUGGAGCAUUGCUUCAUCGAAGAAUUUUGGGAGCUGUUGAUGCAAGUUGGAACUCAUCAACAUUGUAAUGGAAGCAAUAGAAAACCCUUAUCAGUCAGAUGGCCUGACAUUGGUCAUAGCAUCCAAGAGUAACUCAACUCAUAUAGAUUUAGGUACCGGAAGAAUUUUUCGUCAGUGUUGAUAGCAGCAUGUCUGCUUAUAAAGAAGUUGUGGCAUGAGAUCGAUGAUACUGGUAUUUGUCCAUCGCGAAUGUUUAGUAGUAGCUGUUUUGCUGGUUUGUGUCAUGCCCUUUUCCCUCGGGCAUAACUUGUAAGCUCAUCGGGUUGAUGACACGUUGAUAAAAUCAGUCAUGAGGAAUUGCUCAGCACCAUUCGUUGAGCAUGACAACUCGAAUCUCUAUACUUCUGACUGAAUGAUCAUGUGAUGUAUUAUCUCCAAAUUUGUCCUUUA